ensembl:lncRNA
CCCAAGUGGAUAAAUUAGGGAAAAAAAAAUCUUUGUAGUGCGGACUGAGAAAACGGAGAUAUUCAAAAACCGAUGUAUUUUUAGUAGAGCUGCACCGAUACUAAAUCUCUCAGCCGAUACCGAUAAGCGGUUAUUCAGAGUGAUGUCGGCCGAUACCGAUACUUCUGCCUUUUAUGCCUUCUUAUAAACGAAUAAUAUUUCAUUCCACAAUUCUGAAGGAAAUGCAAAUAAAACCUUUAUUCUCUCCAUUUCCACAAGUUGUUUCACAGUAACUGGUCUCAUAAACACAAAACACAUUACUCCAACAUGAACACAUGAACUCAGUUCUGAAGAUUAAAGUAAGAUUAUUAACUUAUUGAAUGUAAACACUCAUAUAAACACUGACUGAAUUAUUUGUAAAAAAUCUCCUGUUAGUCUCACAUUCACUCUCCAAACACAAGCGUUUCUACUUCAUCACUGACAUCAGACUGGUCAUAUAUAAUAUCAACUUUUUAUAUAUUAACAUUCACUGGAUAUGAAAUAUACUACUCUACUAAUAUAUUGUUCUGUACUAUAUCUCAUUUUUAUGUACUAUAUCUGUACUAUAUCUCAACGGUGUACUGGCCCUUUAAACGGGGUACUGGCCCAACUCGUCUUCAUUUAAAUCGUUCAACGAUGUACUGGCCCUUUAAUUCAGCGUGAGCAGCGCAGCAAAAAAAAAAAAUAAUUGACUCGACACCGAAACUCCCGCUUCACCGCUGCUCACUUUCGGUGUAAAAUUAUUAUCGUUACAGAGAUUACAAACUGCAGUUUUGUCGUCAUUGCACACAAGAGACACCUUCUUUACACCCAGCAUGAAAUCAGUGUCUUUUCCCCGCCCUCUUUGGAUUGACAGGAUAUAAUCGUCCCUGAUUAUAAGACGUUUUUAAAGCGUGAAAAAUUGCCUUUAAAUGGCGCCUGAAAAUUGCACCGAUGCACAACGUCUCGAAUUUUUUGUCAUUUGACACGGUCAUGUGACCCGUUCAACUUGAAACAAACAAGAUGGUGGGCAACGUUGUCCUGCAGUCGUGCCUGCUGUCCCGUUCGAUCGCUUCGUUAACGAUUACCGUCACUUCGUACGGCCUUCGGGUCGCGUUUUUAAAUAAACGCUCGGCGGAAGCGACGCAGGACGAAGCUUCUUACGUUUUUACGCACGCGCAGUGUAGGGAUGGAACUGUUUUUCAGACGUUUCGG